rnacentral:rRNA from 1 species
ACGCUCGACACCUACGGGAGCAGCAGUGAGGAAUAUUGGUCAAUGGGCGCAGGCCUGAACCAGCCAAGUAGCGUGAAGGAUGACUGCCCUAUGGGUUGUAAACUUCUUUUAUAUGGGAAUAAAGUUUUCCACGUGUGGAAUUUUGUAUGUACCAUAUGAAUAAGGAUCGGCUAACUCCGUGCCAGCAGCCGCGGUAAUCUGAGCGGGCUGGCAAGGC